GGGUAGCUCAGUUGGUAAAGCAUGAGACUGUUAAUCUCAAGGUUGUGGGUUUGAGUCCCACCAUGGGUG